AAUAUUGUUGUUCAAAGGCCUUUCGGUAUAGUGUUAGGAGAUGUUGCUCCAAGCAUAUGACCUCUAGCUCGAGCACUGCAAUCUCCUUUAUUAGCUCCUCAGUCGGCUGAGAUGGCAUGGAAGAAAGAAAGAGGCUAUGUUCUCGUCCAGAUGUUGAACUGUAUAAGAGAAGGACUUUCACCUUUGGAAUGCAGUUCUCACUUGAUGCAUGAAUAGCACAAGGCUUGUAACCUAGUGCUUUCUCAAGAGCACGGCGCAUGACGAAUUGAUCAUUUAGUCGCUUUUCAAGGACUUGGACCUGCAUAAUUAGCAUCAUCAUGGACUUGCCAUCUGAUUGCAUUGCAUUGGAGGGCAAUAACAAAUGCUACUCAACAACAUUUACAGUAGCAUGAGGGGUUGAGAGGGUUACAGCAGCGAGUUUACAGGGGCGUUACAUAUUUGGAGGAAAC